rnacentral:tRNA from 1 species
GGAUUGUGGUUCAGUGAUAGAGUGCUUGCCUAGCAUUCGAGAGGCACUGGGUUUGAUCCCCAGCACCA